rnacentral:rRNA from 2 species
GAUGGGGAUGCGUCUGAUUAGCUUGUUGGCGGGGUAACGGCCCACCAAGGCGACGAUCAGUAGGGGUUCUGAGAGGAAGGUCCCCCACAUUGGAACUGAGACACGGUCCAAACUCCUACGGGAGGCAGCAGUGAGGAAUAUUGGUCAAUGGGCGAGAGCCUGAACCAGCCAAGUAGCGUGCAGGAUGACGGCCCUAUGGGUUGUAAACUGCUUUUAUAAGGGAAUAAAGUGGGAGUCGUGACUCCUUUUGCAUGUACCUUAUGAAUAAGGACCGGCUAAUUCCGUGCCAGCAGCCGCGGUAAUACGGAAGGUCCGGGCGUUAUCCGGAUUUAUUGGGUUUAAAGGGAGCGUAGGCCGGAGAUUAAGCGUGUUGUGAAAUGUAGACGCUCAACGUCUGCACUGCAGCGCGAACUAGUUUCCUUGAGUACGCACAAAAGUGGGCGGAAUUCGUGGUGUAGCGGUGAAAAUGCUUAGAUAUCACGAAGAACUCCGAUUGCGAAGGCAGCUCACUGGAGCGCGACUGACGCUGAAGCUCGAAAGUGCGGGUAUCGAACAGGAUUAGAUACCCUGGUAGUCCGCACGGUAAACGAUGGAUGCCCGCUGUUGGUCUGAAAUAGGUCGGCGGC